UCAACGCUGGCGGCGUGCCUAACACAUGCAAGUCGAGCGAGAAAGGGAACUUCGGUUCCUGAGUACAGCGGCGCACGGGUGAGUAUCACGUGGGCAACCUGCCUCGGAGUGGGGAAUAACACCGGGAAACCGGUGCUAAUACCGCAUACGAUCACGGAGUCUUUGGAUUCCGUGAUGAAAGGAACUUUCGCUCUGAGAGGGGCCCGCGCCCGAUUAGCUAGUUGGUGAGGUAACGGCUCACCAAGGCCACGAUCGGUAGCCGGUCUGAGAGGACGGUCGGCCACACUGGAACUGAGACACGGUCCAGACUCCUACGGGAGGCAGCAGUGGGGAAUUUUUGACAAUGGGGGAAACCCUGAUCAAGCAACGCCGCGUGGAUGAUGAAGUAUCUCGGUACGUAAAAUCCUUUCGACAGGGAAGAAGCCUUCGGGUUGACGGUACCUGUAGAAGAAGCCCCGGCUAACUCCGUGCCAGCAGCCGCGGUAAU
rnacentral:rRNA from 1 species